AUUGAUUUCUAUGACACUGUUCCUUUUGAACCGGUGCCAAUCUGUUUCUAGAUCCUUCAUAUCAUGCAGUUCAUUUUGCCACUGCUAUUUUCUGCCUCUCUCUCUUUUUUCCUUUCUCUUUCAUUUUUAGAAAUACUAUUCUUUAUCUGUUCUUUCAUGCUCUCUCUUUCUUGCUUUCUUUCUCUUGCUGCCAUUUAGCUUAUUUUAGCUGUGCAUGAAUAAAUUGUUUAAUGAAAAUGCUAUCACAAUCCAAACUUGUACUUAAUUUAAUCUUGAACUGCACAGUAUAAUCCCUGUUCAUUAACAUAUACUUCUCACAGUCAAACUUUAGUUUAUUACACUGAAAAGCUCAAAAAAUCAACAUAUGUACCAUAAUUAUAUAUUUAUAUACAGAUCCACUAAUAACAUAUCAGUUUGAUACUUUAUGAAAAUUUUAAUUAUGUAUGAUAAUUUUGUUAAAUCAUCAAAUUCUUUAGUGUUACCACUACUUACAUUGGGAUAUUUUACCACUUACUGAACAUAAAAAUAAACUUGUCUUCUAAACAUCUGCACUGAAACAAGACCAGAGGACAAUUUAAACUUAGUAACAAGCAGAACAAUUAUAUAAUGUCUUUAGGAAAAAUAUGAGCGUCAUAGCUGCUCCUAAUAUUUGCUAUUAAUUAUAGAGUUCAGCUUUGCUAACAGUUAUGAAUUCUAACUACUGACUGUAUUUAUAGCUAAGUGGAUUGAACCAAAAAUGUUUGACAUAGUUCAGUAUUAGUGUCAGAAUAUAUCUUGAUUCAGCAGCUAGUUGCCAACAUUCCCAUUAACUCAACCAGAAAUUAUCAAUACUGAUCAAGCAGACCUAUCAUCGACAGUGCUCCAGCCAUGACCAUCCCAUAGUUUUAAUGAUACCUAAGACUGCAUUACGUAUUCUGUCCUUUUUUUACUUAAGAUAGUAGGGAGUGAUUUGAGGGAGAUUUGGCUGUUAUUUCUUGGAACAGAAAUGACCUAGAAGCUCCUUCAUUGUUUUGUAGUCCAAAAGUGAUUACAUAAUAAACUAGAAAACUCAAAUGCAUGUGUUCAUUAAGCCUUUUAUUUUCUUAUCAAUAAUGCUUCUAAUGCUCUCUGCAUGACCUGAUAAAAUUAUUCCAAAUUAUCCAGUGCUUAUUGUCUGUUCUGUGUAGAUCUGUCCAAUCAGUUGAUGGCUUUGGUGACUUAGUGCCUCAUUAGAUCCUACCAACUUCUUUCAUUUGUAUCAUUAUUGGUUAGUCUUGUGGCUUAUUCCUAAUUAAUUUUUUUUCUUUUUACUUGGACUUAUAAAAUCAUUUCUCUUUUAUCAAAAAUUGGUCUUUUUUUCUUCUAGGUACUUUUUUGUCUUUUAUAUGUAUGUGACAGUGAUAUUUAACUUAAUAGGUGUCAUUUUAUAUUUUAUUAUUUAUUGUUUUACUUGAAACCUUUCUGACUAAUUGUUUGUCUUAAUAACUAAUUGUCCCACCACCAAUUAUAACUCUAAUGAUCAAAAGUAUGCUAUCAUUUUGGGCUGUCACAUAUCAUAUGAUCAAAUGUGAUUGGCUUCAUCUGCAUCUUGAGUCACCUCUAACAAGACUGACUAAUCAGUGUUACUAAUGUAUAAACCUACACAUCAGGAUGGGGAUGAAAACAGAAGAGUGUUCAAUUUGACAUUGCUGGCGGUAGGACUAAACCUAAAGCCAUGUUUGACAAACUUCUUAACCACACAAUCAUGCCUGCACCUAUAUAAUGUAACACAAAUACACACAUAUAUAAUUGGUUCUCAGUAUUUUGGAUGAAAUGUGAUGUAAUAUUUUGUUCCAGCUUCCUAGAAAUAUGGAAAUUGUAUAUAAUGCUCAGAUGGAUUACUCAUCAGAAAAGGUAGCCUAAAGUGCAUGUGCAGUACUUAGAAUAAUGCACACAAAGUGGACAAUGAAUGAGGCAUUUAAAAAAGAAAGGUGUAGGGGACAUUAGGUGUACUGUUGGUGAAUUUCAGGAAGUAUGGAAGUUUUGAAAGAUGAAGUGUCUUGACAGCUAACAACUGAUACAGGUAGUUUAUUCCAUGCUUCAGUAACUCUGAGUGUGUAAAAUGUUUCUGAAGGUUAGGAGUGCUGUGUUGUUUCGAUUUUGUAAGCAUAUCUAUAGGUGUUAGACAUGGAAUUCAAAAAGGUGCCCAAAGUUGUUGUUGGAAAGAUGGUGGAUAAUUUUGUGAGUGUUUACCAAGUUAGUUGCUAGACACUGGAGCCUUAAUGUGUCCAUGCCCAAGGAGGCAGGACAUUUAUAGUAUGGUAGAUACCUGACAGUGGGUAUUCAUCUAGUUGCAUGUUUCUGAACAGUUCCCAAGAGAUUGAGAUGGUGAUAAAGGUUCCAGAGUGGUGAAGCAAACUCUAAAUAUGGACACACCAUAGCCAUAUAUACUACUUUAAAUAGAUAGCUAGAGAGUAGCUGACAAAGGUAUUACUGAGUGAUGCUAAGACACCCACAGCUUUCUUAACAAUUUUAAAGAUGUGGUUUGUCCAAUACAAAUUGCUGUUGACAAUAAUACCCAGAUCACAUUCAUUAGCAGACUUCUUAAGAUUAAUGUUGUAGAGGGAGUAUUAAAAGUUGAGUUUUUCCUCCCAAAAUGAAUGGUGGUGCCUUGUCUACAGCCAGCUUGAGUUGCUAGUUAGUAAUCCAUUGCCGCACUGUGUCCAGGUCUGAUUGCAGGGAAGAUCUGUAGCAUAUAGGACCUGUUCUUUUAAUUUCAAGAUACAACUUGGUGUUAUGUGCAUAGAACAGAUUCCUGUGGUUGACUAGAUGUCAUCUCAUAAUGAAAGAGUGCUGUCCUAGAACAUGACUACCUCUUUUCAACCAAAAAUGAAGGGCUUCAACCAGUUAUAGAGAUCAUCUUUCACACCUAUUCCAGAGAGUUAGUUUUUCUAUAAGUCCUUUGUGUAGCACACAACUGAAGAUUUCAGCAAAGUUAAGAUAGAUAACAUCCACCCAUAAGCUACCAUCAGUGAUUCAGUUGAUGUCUUCAAGAAACUCAAUGUGUUGGCCACAGCAGCAGGAGGUUUGAUAUAAGUUCCAAAUUGUGAAAGUCUAAUAAGGCUGUGAGAGUUCCAGAGUGUUUCUCUGACACCAGACUCAUCAGUUUGGCAAUGCAGCUGAUUGGACAAUAGUUGACAGGUGAUGUGCAAUCACCCUUUUGACACUGGUGAUUUUCCACUGCUCUGGAGUGACACAGUUAUUAAGACAGAAUUAGAAAAAGAAUGAAAGCUGGUGUGAAAGAAAGAAGCCACCAUGUUUGUGAAGCAGUAAAGUAACAUGAUCAAGACCAGGAAAGGCAUAGUUGCCUUAUUCUUGAAGAGGUGUCUCAGCAUUGCAGGUAUAUAUUUCACAGAUGUUAUAGAAUUUGAUGUCAGAGGUUGUAAAGAUGGUACAUUUGAAUUUUCAACACUAAAAAUGCCAACAUAACAUUCAGCAAUAAGUCCUAUGCAUUCUUUGUAAUAUGAUCUGUGUGGGGAUUGCAAAUAGAGCCAACUAGAGAGUGAGGUGUCUGCUUUGCAUGUACAUAUUUCCAGAACACUUUGCUGUCAGUGUUGGUUACUAUGCAUUGUUCAAAUUCAAACACAUCCUUUUCAUGUCACCUGCUCUUUUGAAUUAGUGCAACUCACUCAAGUUUUCAUAUCCUAGAUGUUCCACUGGUGUAACCCCUUGCAGAUGGGAAGCAGUACUGACCACAUUGAAACACUGUGUGUGUGCGCAGUGUGAUGUCUCACUCUGUGCAGCACCAUGUUUUCAAAUAUACCACACUGA